rnacentral:rRNA from 1 species
UGCUGCAGACCCGAAACGAAGUGAUCUAUCCAUGAGCAAGUUGAAGCUAGAGUAAGAACUAGUGGAGGACUGAACCCAUAGGCUUUGAAAAGCCCCGGGAUGACUUGUGGAUAGGGGUGAAAGGCCAAUCAAACUUCGUGAUAGCUGGUUCUCUCCGAAUUAUAUUUAGGUAUAGCGUUGUGGCGUAAUAUAAGGGGGUAGAGCACUGAAUGGGCUAGGGCAUACACCAAUGUACCAAACCCUAUC